rnacentral:rRNA from 1 species
UACGUAGGUGGCAAGCGUUUUCCGGAUUUACUGGGCGUAAAGGGCGUGCAGGCGGUUUGUUAAGUCUAGGGUGAAAGCUCCCGGCUCAACUGGGAGAGGUCCUUGGAUACUGGCAAACUUGAGGGAUGCAGAGGAAAGUGGAAUUCCCGGUGUAGUGGUGAUAUGCGUAGAUAUCGGGAGGAACACCAGUGGCGAAGGCGGCUUUCUGGGCAUUACCUGACGCUGAGACGCGAAAGCGUGGGGAGCGAACCGG